rnacentral:misc_RNA from 1 species
UUUGAAUAUGGCGACGGGGUAGACAUGAAAAUGACCUGAUUAGAGAGAUGAAGGCAUUGGUCAGGCAGAAAAUUAUGUAUCUCGCAAACUGUGUUGAAAAUGGAAGAUUCCAUAAUUUGGUAGGAAGUAUUGAUGAUACUAUUGAGAUGGUUGCUCAACUAUCGGAAGUCACAGAUACUGAAUGUACAUUAAAUUUGUUAGAAGAUGCAUUUCCAUAUUUAAAUGAAAUCAUUAACUUAGGAGAUUAUGACGCUGCAACACAAGUUUGCCCAGAAUUGGAACACCAAACAAAAGGAAGACCAGUUUUUAAAAUACCUUUUGAAACUUUAGAGUUUUUUGUUGAAAACGGAUUUAAAGUUGCAGAGAUUGCAAGGCUAAUUGGUGUUAGUAAAAGAACAGUUGAGAGACGUCUAAAGGAUUAUGAUUUAGGAAUAAGGCAGUCAUACAGUCCACUCACAGAUCACGAGCUUGAGGAUGAAGUUAAGAAAAUAAUUAAUGAUUUUCCACAUGUUGGAUACAGGACAAUGUCUGGACUUUUACAAGUUAAAGGACACAGAGUGCAAGAAAAGAGAAUUCGACAUGCCAUGCAAAAUGCAGAUUCCUGUGGAGUGCUAUUCAGAAGACUUUUUCUUUCAGCCAGUCGAGUUCAGCGUCGAACCUACAGUGUAAAAGCCCCACAAGCUCUUUGGCACAUCGAUGAGAAUCAUAAGCUAAUUAGGUGGCGUUUUGUAAUACAUGGAGGUAUAGAUGGGUUUUCAAGGUUGCCAGUAUUUCUGAAAAUCAGCAACAAUAACCGAACAAAACAGUAUUCAGAGCCUUUAUACAAGCUGUUGAAGAAUAUGGAGUACCUAAAAGAGUUCGUUCUGACAAAGGUAGUGAAAAUAUAAAAGUUGCUGAGUACAUGUUUCAACAAAGAGGAAUUGAGAGCAAGCCUUUCAUUGCUGGAAGGAGUGUCCAUAAUCAAAGGAUUGAGAGAUUGUGGAGAGAACUUUGGUCUGGAUUUACAGUAACAUAUUAUCGACUUUUCCAAUUCAUGGAGGAGCAACACAUUUUGGAUGUUUCAAAUGAAUUGCACAUGCAAGUCCUCCAUUUUGUAUUUUUACCAAGAAUGCAGUUGAACUUGGAUCGUUUGACCGAAACGUUAAAAAGAAGACCCUUACAAACGGAGAACAAUAGGACACCAUUACAAAUUUGGGUCUCUGGAAAACACUUGGACCCUGAAUGUGAUCCACAGGCUGAGGCAGAGACAAGCAGUUAUGGUGUAGAUUUUGAUGGCCCACCAUCUUUUAAUUCGGAAAUUUGCGUUGAAAUUCCCAACACGAAGAACUUUCAGAUUUGCAAAUUUUGCAACUCAACAAUAUUCAUGAUCAAGAUUCGGAAUGUUUCGGUGUAGACUUGUUUCAGCAAGCUCUUCAAAUUUUGCAGUAAUGUGUUAUUUUCAUCAUGUUCAUAUGGAUUCAAGAUCAAGAUUGCUGAA